CCCGCCGUAGUUCAACGGAUAGAACAGGCGCCUCCUAAGCGCCAGAUACAGGUUCGAUUCCUGUCGGAGGGACCA
rnacentral:tRNA from 1 species